GAUAACAGGCUUAUCUCCCCCAAGAGUCCACAUCGACGGGGAGGUUUGGCACCUCGAUGUCGGCUCAUCGCAUCCUGGAGCUGAAGUAGGUUCCAAGGGUUGGGCUGUUCGCCCAUUAAAGCGGUACGCGAGCUGGGUUCAGAACGUCGUGAGACAGUUC
rnacentral:ncRNA from 1 species